rnacentral:rRNA from 1 species
GUCUAUGGCCAUACCACCCUGAAUGCACCCGAUCUUGUCUGAUCUCGGAAGCUAAGCAGGGUCGGGCCUGGUUAGUACUAGCUGGGCGUGGUGGCACACACCUGUUGUCCCAGCACUUGGGAGGCAGAGGCA